AUUGAACGCUGGCGGCAGGCCUAACACAUGCAAGUCGGACGGUAGCACAGAGAGCUUGCUCUCGGGUGACGAGUGGCGGACGGGUGAGUAAUGUCUGGGGAUCUGCCCGAUAGAGGGGGAUAACCACUGGAAACGGUGGCUAAUACCGCAUAACGUCGCAAGACCAAAGAGGGGGACCUUCGGGCCUCUCACUAUCGGAUGAACCCAGAUGGGAUUAGCUAGUAGGCGGGGCAACGGCCCACCUAGGCGACGAUCCCUAGCUGGUCUGAGAGGAUGAACAGCCCAACUGGAACUGAGACACGGUCCAGACUCCUACGGGAGGCAGCAGUGGGGAAUAUUGCACAAUGGGCGCAAGCCUGAUGCAGCCAUGCCGCGUGUAUGAAGAAGGCCUUCGGGUUGUAAAGUACUUUCAGCGGGGAGGAAGGCGAUGUGGUUAAUAACCGUAUCGAUUGACGUUACCCGCAGAAGAAGCACCGGCUAACUCCGUGCCAGCAGCCGCCGUAA
rnacentral:rRNA from 1 species